UGGGGAAUCUUGGACAAUGGGGGCAACCCUGAUCCAGCCAUGCCGCGUGAGUGAUGAAGGCCUUAGGGUCGUAAAGCUCUUUCGCCUGUGAAGAUAAUGACGGUAGCAGGUAAAGAAACCCCGGCUAACUCCGUGCCAGCAGCCGCGGUAAUACGGAGGGGGUUAGCGUUGUUCGGAAUUACUGGGCGUAAAGCGCACGUAGGCGGACCAGAAAGUUGGGGGUGAAAUCCCGGGGGCUCAACCCCGGAACUGCCUCCAAAACUAUUGGUCUAGAGUUCGAGAGAGGUGAGUGGAAUUCCAAGUGUAGAGGUGAAAUUCGUAGAUAUUUGGAGGAACACCAGUGGCGAAGGCGGCUCACUGGCUCGAUACUGACGCUGAGGUGCGAAAGUGUGGGGAGCAAACAGGAUUAGAUACCCUGGGUAGUCCACGCCGUAAAACGAUGAAUGUUAGCCGUCGGGCAGUAUACUGUUCGGU
rnacentral:rRNA from 1 species